GGCUCAGAUUGAACGCUGGCGGCAGGCCUAACACAUGCAAGUCGAGCGGUAGCACAGGAGAGCUUGCUCUCUGGGUGACGAGCGGCGGACGGGUGAGUAAUGUCUGGGAAACUGCCUGAUGGAGGGGGAUAACUACUGGAAACGGUAGCUAAUACCGCAUAACGUCUUCGGACCAAAGUGGGGGACCUUCGGGCCUCACGCCAUCAGAUGUGCCCAGAUGGGAUUAGCUAGUAGGUGGGGUAAUGGCUCACCUAGGCGACGAUCCCUAGCUGGUCUGAGAGGAUGACCAGCCACACUGGAACUGAGACACGGUCCAGACUCCUACGGGAGGCAGCAGUGGGGAAUAUUGCACAAUGGGCGCAAGCCUGAUGCAGCCAUGCCGCGUGUGUGAAGAAGGCCUUCGGGUUGUAAAGCACUUUCAGCGAGGAGGAAGGGUUCAGUGUUAAUAGCACUGUUCAUUGACGUUACUCGCAGAAGAAGCACCGGCUAACUCCGUGCCAGCAGCCGCGGUAAUACGGAGGGUGCAAGCGUUAAUCGGAAUUACUGGGCGUAAAGCGCACGCAGGCGGUUUGUUAAGUCAGAUGUGAAAUCCCCGCGCUUAACGUGGGAACUGCAUUUGAAACUGGCAAGCUAGAGUCUUGUAGAGGGGGGUAGAAUUCCAGGUGUAGCGGUGAAAUGCGUAGAGAUCUGGAGGAAUACCGGUGGCGAAG
rnacentral:rRNA from 1 species